GAUGAACGCUGGCGGCGUGCCUAAUACAUGCAAGUCGAGCGAACAGAUGAGGAGCUUGCUCCUCUGACGUUAGCGGCGGACGGGUGAGUAACACGUGGAUAACCUACCUAUAAGACUGGGAUAACUUCGGGAAACCGGAGCUAAUACCGGAUAAUAUAUUGAACCGCAUGGUUCAAUAGUGAAAGACGGUUUUGCUGUCACUUAUAGAUGGAUCCGCGCCGCAUUAGCUAGUUGGUAAGGUAACGGCUUACCAAGGCAACGAUGCGUAGCCGACCUGAGAGGGUGAUCGGGCACACUGGAACUGAGACACGGUCCAGACUCCUACGGGAGGCAGCAGUAGGGAAUCUUCCGCAAUGGGCGAAAGCCUGACGGAGCAACGCCGCGUGAGUGAUGAAGGUCUUCCGAUCUUAAAACUCUGUUAUUAGGGAAGAACAAAUGUGUAAGUAACUAUGCACGUCUUGACGGUACCUAAUCAGAAAGCCACGGCUAACUACGUG
rnacentral:rRNA from 1 species